UGACGGGGCCGCACAAGCGGUGGAGCAUGUGGUUUAAUUCGAAGCAACGCGAAGAACCUUACCAGGCCUUGACAUGCAGAGAACUUUCCAGAGAUGGAUUGGUGCCUUCGGGAACUCUGACACAGGUGCUGCAUGGCUGUCGUCAGCUCGUGUCGUGAGAUGGUUGGGUUAAGUCCCGUAACGAGCGCAACCCUUGUCCUUAGUUACCAGCACGUUAUGGUGGGCACUCUAAGGAGACUGCCGGUGACAAACCGGAGGAAGGUGGGAUGACGUCAAGUCAUCAUGGCCCUUACGGCCUGGGCUACACACGUGCUACAAUGGUCGGUACAAAGGGUUGCCAAGCCGCGAGGUGGAGCUAAUCCCAUAAAACCGAUCGUAGUCCGGAUCGCAGUCUGCAACUCGACUGCGUGAAGUCGGAAUCGCUAGUAAUCGUGAAUCAGAAUGUCACGGUGAAUACGUUCCCGGGCCUU
rnacentral:rRNA from 1 species